GGGGAAUUUUGGACAAUGGGCGCAAGCCUGAUCCAGCCAUGCCGCGUGCAGGAUGAAGGCCUUCGGGUUGUAAACUGCUUUUGUACGGAACGAAAAGGUGCCUUCUAAUAAAGGGAGCUCAUGACGGUACCGUAAGAAUAAGCACCGGCUAACUACGUGCCAGCAGCCGCGGUAAUACGUAGGGUGCGAGCGUUAAUCGGAAUUACUGGGCGUAAAGCGUGCGCAGGCGGUUUUGUAAGACAGAGGUGAAAUCCCCGGGCUCAACCUGGGAACUGCCUUUGUGACUGCAAGGCUGGAGUGCGGCAGAGGGGGAUGGAAUUCCUCGUGUAGCAGUGAAAUGCGUAGAUAUGCGAAGGAACACCGAUGGCGAAGGAAAUCCCCUGGGCCUGCACU
rnacentral:rRNA from 1 species